GGUGAUAAACCGGAGGAAGGUGGGGAUGACGUCAAGUCAUCAUGGCCCUUACGAGUAGGGCUACACACGUGCUACAAUGGCGUAUACAAAGAGAAGCGACCUCGCGAGAGUAAGCGGACCUCAUAAAGUACGUCGUAGUCCGGAUUGGAGUCUGCAACUCGACUCCAUGAAGUCGGAAUCGCUAGUAAUCGUAGAUCAGAAUGCUACGGUGAAUACGUUCCCGGGCCUUGUACACACCGCCCGUCACACCAUGGGAGUGGGUUGCAAAAGAAGUAGGUAGCUUAACCUUCGGGAGGGCGCUUACCACUUUGUGAUUCAUGACUGGGGUGAAG
rnacentral:rRNA from 1 species